GAGCUCCAGCCGACAAUUUUCUUCUUCGAGGCAGGUUAACUUCAAUAACCUCGAAACAUCUGUCUAAGCAGGCUGUCCACGGGGCCCGAAGCGAUCGAUGUUGCAGUCGUUGGACACGAACGCAUGUUUGUAGAAUAGUCGUUGCCGCAGGGAAUCACACCAGACUUGCUUCUGAAUCCGUUUACACGGGUUGACUCGCACGUGCGAUCAAAAUCUGUUGAAAUUUAGAGUUCAGACAUAAUAACUCUCUCUGUCUCUCUAAAACCUUUAAACCAUUCCGUUUUCACUAACUCAUUCUCUCUCUCUCUGCAACUUCUAUAUUUUUCUCUCAAGAACUUGGAGAUCUUGACGUCUCAGCUUCAGAGGGCAGAGCGUGCAAUAAAUCCAUCAACUCAAAGCACUGUAAGAGGUUAACCAGUUGCAGUGUUCUUAGAGGCCUUGCUACCAAAUUAAGUGAUAGAUGUUCUUCGAACAAUGUGGUUUGAGCUUUUUGGUGACAUAGAAUAGUCAAACAAACCAAUGGAGGAAAGCAGUAGGGGAGAUCAUAAGUCAUUGAGGGGAAGUGGAAGUUUUAAGUCAACAUUGUCAGGAAGAUCAAGCCCGCGAAAUUCUCCUUCAUUUCGGAGAUUGAAUUCAAGCCGAACUCCACGGAGAGAAG